rnacentral:rRNA from 1 species
GACGAACGCUGGCGGCGUGCUUAACACAUGCAAGUCAAACGGAAAGGCCCUGCUUUUGUGGGGUGCUCGAGUGGCGAACGGGUGAGUAACACGUGAGUAACCUGCCCUUGACUUUGGGAUAACUUCAGGAAACUGGGGCUAAUACCGGAUAGGAGCUCCUGCUGCAUGGUGGGGGUUGGAAAGUUUCGGCGGUUGGGGAUGGACUCGCGGCUUAUCAGCUUGUCGGUGGGGUAGUGGCUUACCAAGGCUUUGACGGGUAGCCGGCCUGAGAGGGUGACCGGCCACAUUGGGACUGAGAUACGGCCCAGACUCCUACGGGAGGCAGCAGUGGGGAAUAUUGCACAAUGGGCGGAAGCCUGAUGCAGCAACGCCGCGUGCGGGAUGACGGCCUUCGGGUUGUAAACCGCUUUCGCCUGUGACGAAGCGUGAGUGACGGUAAUGGGUAAAGAAGCACCGGCUAACUACGUG